AGAGUUUGAUCCUGGCUCAGGAUGAAUGCUGGCGGCGUGUCUAAGGCAUGCAAGUUGAAAGAUUAAUUUAUUAAUCUUGGCAAACGGGAGAGUAACACAUUGGUAAUCUGCCCCGGGGACGAGAAUAACUCAGAGAAAUUUGAGAUAAUACUCGAUAUUAGUGGGGGGACAUAAGUCAUUCCUACUUAAAGUUCCGGCGCCUCGGGAGGAGCCUAUGGUCUAUCAGCUCGCUGGUGAGGUAAAAGCUCACCAAGGCUACGACGGAUAGCGGGUGUGAGAGCAUGACCCGUCUCACUGGGACUGAGACACUGCCCAGACUCCUACGGGAGGCUGCAGUCAAGAAUAUUCCUCAAUGGCCGAAAGGCUGAAGGAGCGACGCCGCGUGUACGAAGAAGCUUUUCGGAGUGUAAAGUACUUUUAUUAGGGACGAAACAAUGACGGUACCUAAUGAAUAAGGGGCUGCUAACCUCGUGCCAGCAGCAGCGGUAAUACGAGGGCCCCAAGCAUUAUCCGGAUUUAUUGGGCGUAAAGGGUACGUAGGCGGUUUAUCGCAUCUUUCGUUAAAUCUUGUGGCUCAACCACGAGGCUGCGGAAGAGAUGGGUAAACUAGAGUUCGGUAGAGGCAAGCGGAAUUGCUGGUGUAGGGGUUAAAUCCGUUAAUAUCAGCAGGAACACCAAAUGCGAAGGCAGCUUGCUAGAACGAUACUGACGCUAAGGUACGAAAGCGUGGGGAGCGAAUGGGAUUAGAUACCCCAGUAGUCCACGCCGUAAGCGAUGGAUGCUAAGCAUUGGGAGUUUCGACCCUCUCAGUGCUGUCUAACUAAGUUAACACGUUAAGCAUCCCGCCUGGGGAGUACGAGCGCAAGCUUGAAACUCAAAGGAAUAGACGGGGACCCGCACAAGCGGUGGAGCAUGUGGUUUAAUUCGACGAUAAGCGAGAAACCUCACCUAGGUUUGAAAUAUAGCUGCAAGCCCUGGAAACAGGGUCGCCUUCGAGGGUGCUAUACAGGUGCUGCAUGGUUGCCGUCAGCUCGUGUCGUGAGAUGUACCGUUAAGUCGGAAAACGAGCGCAACCCCUAUCCUAUGUUUUACAUGUCAUAGGAAACUGCCCGCCUCAAGUGGGAGGAAGGAAGGGACGACGUCAAAUCAGCAUGGUCCUUACACCUAGGGCUACACACGUGCUACAAUGGGAAGUACAAAGGGACGCCAAACCGUAAGGUGGAGCAAACCCCCCAAAACUUUCCUCAGUUCGGAUCGAGGUCUGCAAUUCGACCUCGUGAAGUCGGAAUCGCUAGUAAACGCGUAUCAGCUACGGCGCGUUGAAUACGUUCUCGGGUCUUGUACUCACCGCCCGUCACGUCAAGAGAGUCGAUAAUACCCAAAGGCUGUGCCUAGCACGGACGAAGGUAGGAUUGGCGAUAGGGACGAAGUCGUAACAAGGCA
rnacentral:rRNA from 1 species